GCCCGCUUAGCACAGUGGUAAUGCGUUGCACUCGUACUUAUGUUCUGAUAUGCAAAGAUCCUCGGUUCGAUUCCGAGAGUGGGCA